UAUAUAUAUCAUGUUAUUAUUCAACUAAUAGAUAACAUGCCUCACAAAAUGCAAUAUGCAAAACCUGUAACUCAUGCAAGUAGUUUGCUUGAUUCUACUACAUAUUAUUCGUCAUUCUUUACAUGUAACCGUUCUUUACUUAUUUAGCUAUUCUCAUUCAUUAGCUAUUCGUUACAUCAUUUCCUUGUUACAUUAUACUCAUUGGCGAUUCUUUAUUCUUUGACAUUCUUGAUUGUCGAUAUACUUUAGCAUUUGCCAUUCUU
rnacentral:lncRNA from 1 species